rnacentral:rRNA from 1 species
CAGUCGCCACGGGAAUACGAAGGGGGCUAGCGUUGUUCGGAAUUACUGGGCGUAAAGCGCACGUAGGCGGAUAUUUAAGUCAGGGGUGAAAUCCCAGAGCUCAACUCUGGAACUGCCUUUGUUACUGGGUAUCUUGAGUAUGGAAGAGGUUAGUGGAAUUGCGAGUGUAGAGGUGAAAUUCGUAGAUAUUCGCAGGAACACCAGUGGCGAAAGCGGCUCUCUGGCCCGGAUCUGACGCUGAGGCGCGAAAGCGUGGGGAGCAAACAGGAUUAGAGACCCGUGUAGUCCCUGUCUCUUAUAC